GGGGUUGUGGCUCAGUUGGUAGAGUGCUUGCCCAGCAUGCAGGAAGCCCUGGGUUCAAUCCCCAGCAUUCUA
rnacentral:tRNA from 1 species